AAAGCUUUAUUGGUGACAUAACNUGGAAUUUACUAAGUGGGUGCAAAUUCCCANCUGAUAAAUAAUAGACGAGAAGACCCUUGAAANUUUUAACAACACGUCCACUAUAAGUUUUUGUUGGGGCAACAUGGUAGCACUUAACCUACAAUANAUUACACGACANUGAUGUAGUCAGUUUAAAUUACUCUAGGGAUAACAGCGUAAUUCUGUGUGAGUUUGCGACCUCGAUGUUGGACUAGGAAGCAGACGCUUAGAAGGUNGAUAGCUAUGCUCUGUUCGAGCNAAUAAAUCCUACGUGAUCUGA
rnacentral:rRNA from 1 species